CGCCCGGUCGUCGACCGCGCGGCUGCCUUGCUUACACCCUUGUCUAUGAGCACCCUUUUGUAGUUUCCUCGGCGGGCUUGCCCGUCGACAGGAACCCCUUUAACCAUCUUGCAUCAGCAUCAUACUUCUGACACAAAACAAAAAUUAAUCACAACUUUCAACAAUGGAUCUCUUGGUUCUGGCAUCGAUGAAGAACGCAGCGAAAUGCGAUAAGUAGUGUGAAUUGCAGAAUUCAGUGAAUCAUCGAAUCUUUGAACGCACAUUGCGCCCCUUGGUAUUCCAUGGGGCAUGCCUGUUCGAGCGUCAUUUACACCCUCAAGCUCUGCUUGGUGUUGGGCGUCUGUCCCGCCGCUUGUCGGCGUGAGGACUCGCCUCAAAGGUAUUGGCAGCGGCCUAUGCCAGCCUCUCGCGCAGCGAAGAUUGCGUCGAACGAGGCGUGGCGCCGGGCUCGCGUCCACGAAGUUUACCACGACUUGACCUCGGAUCAGGUAGGGAUACCCGCUGAACUUAAGCAUAUCAAUAAGCGGAGGAAAAGAAACCAACAGGGAUUGCCCUAGUAACGGCGAGUGAAGCGGCAACAGCUCAAAUUUGAAAUCUGACUCCUCUAGGUGUCCGAGUUGUAAUUUGCAGAGGGUGCUUUGGCGUUGUCGGCGGUCUAAGUUCCUUGGAACAGGACAUCACAGAGGGUGAGAAUCCCGUUUGUGGUCGCCAGCCUUCGCCGUGUAAAGCCCCUUCGACGAGUCGAGUUGUUUGGGAAUGCAGCUCUAAAUGGGAGGUAAAUUUCUUCUAAAGCUAAAUACCGGCCAGAGACCGAUAGCGCACAAGUAGAGUGAUCGAAAGAUGAAAAGCACUUUGGAAAGAGAGUCAAAAAGCACGUGAAAUUGUUGAAAGGGAAGCGCUUGCAGCCAGACUUGCCCGUAGUUGCUCACCCGGACUCUUGCCCGGGGCACUCUUCUGCGGGCAGGCCAGCGUCAGUUUGGGCGGUUGGAUAAAGGCCUCUGUCAUGUAUCUCCCUUCGGGGUGACCUUAUAGGGGAGGCGUAAUGCAGCCAGCCCGGACUGAGGUCCGCGC
rnacentral:rRNA from 1 species